UUAAAUGAUACUAUAUGUUAUUAUCACUACUUCUGGCAAGGUUAAACAAUUCCUCUCGUUGUUUUAUGAGAUCCUGACUCCUGAUAAUGAUCAUCAAUGGUCUAUUAAAACAGGGUUUAGAGGCUAUUUGAUCCAACUUUGGGAUUAACCAUUUUGCACAUAAUUUUUCAAACGUUUUAAUGGGGGUUCCCUCCCCUACAGUAAAAGGAAAAGGGUAUCAGGUGCCUUCUCUAACAUCACCGCCGUUGGUUGAGCCGAGUUCCAAAUAAAAACAUCUAGAAAGGUUAUGCAUGAAGGAGAAAGAGGGAUUCAAUUGAAAAUUCCUUUGCAGAAAAAGUUGGCUGAGAUUAGAGAAUACUUUGAUACCCUGCUUGUUGAUUCAUACAACGAAGAUCCUGCAAUUACAUUGUUGUGGAACGAAUCUGUAUAUGCGAUUUAAUCAGACUUUCAGAACAGCGGGCUGAUGCUGAGAAAACUAUGCACCCAAAGCUUAUCACCUCAGAUACCGGGCAACAAAUCAGUGAACUGAACUGCAAGGCCGAGGAAGAAAAGGACAAAAAGCGGGCUGAAGUCAGGAAGCACCAAAAGUUUUAAGGUGGGUCAGGUGCUGUUUGUAUUUGAUGAUAAGAGAUCCAUGGUGCAGAGAAGAAUCCAGAAUGCAUGCACAAAUAGACAUAUAUGAGAAAACCUGAUUCCAUGGCCGUGUUUCAUCUGUUUCAUCAGAGAUCUGAUUACAGGAGAAUUUUGGAUGUCUUAGCUUAAUUCAUGUGCAAGAGAUCAGCUGGAUAAUUACAUUAGAAGGUUCUAUAUGCGAAUAAUAAAGAUUUAAAUUGUAAGGUUUGAAUAAAUCUUUUUCAGUUCGUAAAGAA